GAGUUUGAUCCUGGCUCAGAUUGAACGCUGGCGGCAGGCCUAACACAUGCAAGUCGAGCGGUAGAGAGAAGCUUGCUUCUCUUGAGAGCGGCGGACGGGUGAGUAAUGCCUAGGAAUCUGCCUGGUAGUGGGGGAUAACGCUCGGAAACGGACGCUAAUACCGCAUACGUCCUACGGGAGAAAGCAGGGGACCUUCGGGCCUUGCGCUAUCAGAUGAGCCUAGGUCGGAUUAGCUAGUUGGUGAGGUAAUGGCUCACCAAGGCGACGAUCCGUAACUGGUCUGAGAGGAUGAUCAGUCACACUGGAACUGAGACACGGUCCAGACUCCUACGGGAGGCAGCAGUGGGGAAUAUUGGACAAUGGGCGAAAGCCUGAUCCAGCCAUGCCGCGUGUGUGAAGAAGGUCUUCGGAUUGCAAAGCACUUUAAGUUGGAGGAAGGGCAGUAAAUUAAUACUUUGCUGUUUUGACGUUACCGUACAGAAUAAGCACCGGCUAACUCUGUGCCAG
rnacentral:rRNA from 1 species